CGCAUCUGUGCAUGCAGCAUAUCAAUAAGCGGAGGAAAAGAAACUAACAAGGAUUCCCCUAGUAACGGCGAGGUGAAGCGGGAAGAGCUCAAAUUUGAAAUCUUAAAGGGUUUCCCUUUACGAAUUGUAGUUUAAAGAAGUGUUUUCUGUUGUGGUUUUGGUAAAAGUUCUUUGGAAUAGGACAUCAUAGAGGGUGAGAAUCCCGUAUUUGACCUUUACUUUCAACUUUGUGAUACACUUUCAAAGAGUCGGAUUGUUUGGGAAUGCAGUCCAAAAUGGGUGGUAAAUUUCAUCUAAAGCUAAAUAUUGGCGAGAGACCGAUAGCGAACAAGUACCGUGAGGGAAAGAUGAAAAGAACUUUGAAAAGAGAGUUAAACAGUACGUGAAAUUGUCAAAAGGGAAGCGUUUGACACCAGUGUUGUUUUUCUGAAAAUCAAUUAAAGAACUGUUUAUGCUAAGCUGUUUAGACUUUAUCAGCUACUGUUUAGUUUUGAGCUUUUCUUUAAUGCACUUUUCAGUUAACAAGUCAACAUCAAUUUCUUUUGCUGUAAAAAAGCUUGAGGAAGGUGGCUUGAGAUUCGUCUUAAGUGUUUAUAGCCUCUUGCCUAUGCAGUCGGAGAGAUUGAGGUCUGCAGCGUAGAUCCUUCGGGGCUAAAUGCAUUUGUGCUAAGUUAUAAGCAUUUUAUAGACAACUUGUUGACUAUGAUUUGUCUUGUAGCUUACUCGCUUAUGUUAUUUUACCUACGCUUAGGAUGUUGAGCGCAUGUCUCUCUCU
rnacentral:rRNA from 1 species